CCACAUUAUUAGCAGAGCAACAUUAUUAUUAUUUUUUUUUUGGUUCUUUUUUUCGGAGCUGGGGACCGAACCCAGGGCCUUGUGCUUCCUAGGUAAGCGCUCUACCACUGAGCUAAAUCCCCAGCCCCUAUUUUUUUUAUUUUAACCUGUUUACUUUUAAGAUGGGCUCUGGCUGUCUGCCCCAUGUGGUCUCUAACUCCUGGACUCCCGUGAUCCUUCAUCAUUCUCUGACAGCUGGAACUGCAGGUGGGAGCUACCACAUCUGGCUAGCUUUUGUCUUCCCAUAUCCCUAAGGACCUCUUUAUACAUAGGAUGUGAGGUCUAUAAUUCAAAGAGUUUGUUGGGGGCAGGGGUCUCACGUAGCCCAGGCCAGCCUUGAACUUGCUUGUAGCUGAAAAUGACCAUGAACAUCUGAUGGACCUGCCUCUGCCCAGGGAGUCCUCGAGUCACAGGUAUGUGUCCCCAUGCCUGGGUUUUAUGCCAUGUUAGGGUUGAAACCCAGGGCUUCCGACAUCCUAGGCAAGCACUCUACCAGCUGGGCUCUAUCCCUAGUCACGGAGACAUUUGAAUGGGGACUUCUGUCGGUCUAAUGUGAGGUUAACAGUUUGAGGCUAGAGUGAUGGGCCCAUUUCUCUCUGAGCCUCAAGUCACAGGCUGUAGGAUAAGAUAACAGCUCCAUCAUAGACACCAGAUCUGCUGGGCUUCUGUGUCAUGGGGAUUGGUCUGGUCCUUGCCCCAGGAAUGGACAGAGCUGUAAAAAGCUUGCAACUACGGGAGAAAUAACAGCCCUGUGGCGGAUAAGCCUCCUGGGUCACAGCGGAAGCUCACGCAGUGAGAAUCCAGCUGGCAUCAGAGGCAGCUCUGUGAGGGGCCACACCCUAAACUCAGGGAACCUGGGGCCUCAGAGCCAGGUGCUGGGAUAACCUCAGAUUGUAUCCCCAACACAGCAGGCGGAUUAAACUGUUAGCGACAGCAGAUGGACAGGUGAGGGAAAUGCGUGUAUUUACACAGUAGGGUGUGAGGUUGCGUUGUUUUUUGUUUUUUGUUUUUUGUUUUUUGUUUUUUGUUUUUUUUUUCAGCCAAGUGUUCUGUUGUUUGCAGCUGGAGGUGGCCAUGUUAAACAGAUUGUGAUUCUACACACACACACACACACACACACACACACACACACACACGCAGUUGAAGUAAAACCGUCUAGAAGGAAAAGGGGGACUAAGGGAGAGAAGGUGAGGUUAGGGAGGGCAUAGAGAGCACGUGCUCAGCCCACGGUAAAUACAUGUAUGGGAACAUGUCAACAAGCGGGGGUAAGGGGCUGUAAGUCAGGUGACUGGCGUUGGGAACGCCUUAGUGCUGGCUGUUCUGUCUGCUGAGCUCUCUCUCUCCCUCAGCUUUGACCUCUGUCCUCCAUCCUCCAUACCAGUGUGAGACACGCCAAGAACUCAGGAAUCAUUUGCUUAUUGUGUGUCCAUGUGUGCGCCACAAGACCAGUGCAGGGGUCUGGGAACAGUGGGUCUCUCCUUCCAACACGUGGGCCUCGGGAAUUGAAUUCGAGUUGCUGAGUAAUUUCGCCUGUUUGGGAAUCGCAUUGGAUUCCUAUUUUCUUUUCCUAGCCCUUUGGUUACUAAAUGCUGCAGCUUUUAACUAAGUCCUGCAGGAGUCCAGCUGCAUGCUCCAAGUGAUCUGUCUUCUACCAAAAAAGCUGUGUGGGGACACUGAGAAACAUUGCUGGUGUCCCCAAAGCCUGAUGAAGGCCUUCAUGUCCACAGUCCCCCUAGAAAAGGAACACGUGGCUCACCCUUGUGGUAGAAGCAGACAGUUAGGAUGGCAUCACUUGGCCCUCUACCAUAGGGCCCUUGCUUCACAGGCCAUUGGACCAGUGUGGCCCUCCUGACAGGCGCUGGCGAGCGGCUCAGUGCAGAGGACAUCGGGUUCCUCAGCUGGACCACCUGGUGUGAUCCUCAGCCACUGUGAAAGGUAGACAAGAGAACCGCUCCACAAGGUUGUCCUCUGAACUCCACUGGCGUGCCCUGCAUACAUACGCCCACGUCACACACGAUAAUAAUGUGUCUUGAAAGAACUCCGACGGCCGCCGAGUAUAUACAUUCCAGUGACUCUUUCCAGAAUUAGAGAACACCAGGUUUGGGGCAGGCUGUGUGUGAAGCAGGCCCUCUGCAAAACACACUGACCUCCACCAGCUCGGAACCUGAGCAGCCCUUUAAACUGUGCCAGGGCAGGAAUCAGCCGGCUUAUCACCGGUACUUCAAAACCCCCACAAACGUGCUUAUCUUCUUUAUGGUGCACAGGAUUCCUGGUAAAUGGCUACAGGCCUCUCCCGGGAAAAGCUAAAGAGAUGCUUACAAUAUGUUUGUUUAUGUAUAGCUGUAUAUGUACACUCAUGUUACAUGGGUUCACAUGCAUGUAUAUUUACAUAACACAUAUGGUUGUGUGUGUGUGUGGUGUGUGUGGGUGUGUGGGGUGUGUGUGUGGUGUAUGUGUGUGUAUAUGUGGUGUGUGUGUGUGUGUGGUAUGUGGUGUGUGUGUGGUAUAUGUGGUAUAUAUGUGUGUGUGGUGUGUGGUGUGUGUGUGUGUAUAUGUGGUAUGUGUGGUAUAUGUGUGUGUAUGUGGUGUGUGUGGUAUGUGUGUGUGUAUGUGAUGUAUGUUUGUGUGUGUAUUUGGUGUAUGUGUGUGUGUGUGUGGUAUAUGUGGUGUAUGUGUGUGUAUGUGGUGUGUGUGUGAGUGUGUGUGGUAUGUGUGGUAUGUGUGUAUGUGUGUGUGUGGUGUGUGUGUGUAUGUGGUGUGUGGUGUGUGUGUGGUGUGUGUGUGAGUGUGUGUGGUAUGUGUGGUAUGUGUGUAUGUGUGUGUGUGGUGUGUGUGUGUGUGUGGUGUGUGUAUGUAUGUGGUGUGUGGUGUGUGUGUGGUGUGUGUGUAUAUGUGGUAUGUGUGUAUAUGUGGUAUGUGUGUGUGUGUGUAUGUGUGGUGUGUGUGUGUAUGUGGUAUGUGUGUAUAUGUGUGUAUGUGUGGUGUGUGUGUGUGUGUGUGUGUGUGUGUAUGUGUGUGUGUAUGCAUGUGUAACAGACAUGUUUUGGGAGGAAGUCUUGGGAUGUGAGCUAAUGCAAGUACAGGAGUGGCUGCCAGGCCAGAGCUCACUGCUGUGUGCUUUAAGUUUAAGCCUAGCCUUUUGCCCUUCUGUGCUGCCCCCACUGUCAGUUCUAGGGCCACCAGAACUGGGUAACCAGGGCCUGGGAUCCAUGGCUUAGCCUAUGCUGUCACUGUUUGAACAGAUGCUGUCACGGUAAUCAAGCUUGCCUUUGCCAAUCAGAUGUUACCAGUGACCUCCUUAAGAUCAGGAUCUCCCCGACCCUGUUGACUCCAGGGAGGCCGGCAGCUCACUGCAGCAUUCUCAGACUAAAGAGAGCGCUAUCAGAACUCUUGUGAAGUAGCCAGGGCUACCUGUCCGUGGGCAUUUCCUCCUCCCUGAUACAGGGAGCGGAUAUGCUGGGGGAGGCAGGAUGAAGUCACCCUAUCUCCCUCGUCCUUUGGCUGUCGGCCUCUAUGGCGGUUUCCCAGCCUCACGACUGCCAGCCAGGGCUAGAUUUCCUUGCUGUCGGAUGCUCUGUACACCGAGGGCCGUUUGGCAACCUCCCUGAUUGCUAGAGUUACCUCACUGCCUCCCACUCCCAACAGGACAGACAAAAAUGUCCCCAUAUGAUACCAGAUUAGAUUUUCCUGAGGGAACAAACGGCUUGUCGCUUCCUGAAAGCCCACAGGGGCUGCCACACUGUGAACCUUUGGAGAACCAAACAGCAAAAUCCCCAAAGCUUUGGGUUCCUCACUUCUGAGCCUCUGCAGCAGAACAUGGGGGCACACAAGGUGGGCGGAAGAAUGGCUGACCCAAAGUGUGCUCAGAGGGCUCUCGGGAGACCAGGUGUCUGCUGAACUGUGAGAAAGAACUUGGCUGGACACCCUGAGACCCUGAAGACUGACCCAGGCAGUGGUAAGGACAGAAGCUUUGCUUAUGUGUCUUUUUCUUUUCUUUUCUUUUCUUUUCUUUUUUCUUUUCUCUUCUUUUCUUUGGAGCUGGGGACCGAACCCAGGGCCUUGAGCUUGCUAGGCAAGCGCUCUACCGCUGAGCUAAAUCCCCAACCCCGCUUAUGUGUCUUUUGACGGCCAUGACGGUGGAUCCCUUUGGCUGUGACUGGCCAGGAGUGCUGGCUCCAUGUAGCUGAGGUAACUCUGGAAACUGCAGUGGUUGCCCUUGAAGUUGGGUCUGUGGGUGAUGACAGCUUUGGCUGUGCGGCUUUGGAGGAAUGGUUUAAUAAAGGAGACAGGUUUGGAGGUGGGGAACUACAAUGACUUCGGGAACUACAACAAUUACAUCUUCGGAUUUGGGGCCCACAAAGACAGGAAACUAAAGCGGGAACCUGUCCUGUGGUGUGGAGGAAGGCCAGUAAUUUAUCAAACUCCAGACACCGGUGACCAGCUGCUCUCUCAGCAGGAGAAACACCUGUGACUGUGCCAGGGGCCUCAUUGCUGCAGGAAACAAAGUUUAGCCCGAGGAGAGAGCCAGAAAGAGAGUUUCAGUGAACUGAGAAGCACAGACCGCGUGAAUGGGGCCUCGCUGCUGCACAGGCAAGCAUUAGCCUGUCACUCAUGGGAAAAUUCCUCAGGAACUGGGCUAUGACUGACUGUGGUCUGAUAAGGGUGCCAAGUCCAUGUGGCUUUGGUUUGGUUUAGUUCUAUUUAUUUGGUUGUUUUGGGUUUUUUGAGACAGAGUUUCCCUUUGAAGCCCCAGCUAUCCUGGAACUCACUCUGUAGACCAGGGUGGCCUCGAACCCAGAGAUCCACUUCACUUGCCUCUGCCUCCCUGAGCCACCACUGCCCGGCUGAGUCAAUGUUUUUAAUGUGCCUGUCUAGGCCCGACUGUAUAAAGUUCCUGUCCUGGGAAGACAGCUCCUUUCUCCAGCAGUGAGAUUAGGGUCCCCUUGGAGUCCUGCCGGGUUGGAUUGGGAACUUCGUAACAGUUUCUUGGGUGAAAUGACCUUGGCUCCAGAAACGCUGGUGUAGUUGAACUGACAGUUCUUAUUGUCAAAUUAGAAAGCUCACAUUGAUUCGGCCAGUUAAGCGUAAUCUAUGGAGCAAAGCAUGGGGCACACAUACUCCGUGCACCAGGAAGCCUGAAGCGGGAGGAUUUUAAAGGGUUUCGGUACCACCUGUGCAAUACAUUAGCUUAAUAAAGGUCCACAGGGAAACAGCUAACCAGAACCACUGUAGGAAUCUAGUCUGUCCUGUGUAUUCUAGCUCCGGUUUGAAAGUUCUGAAUUGUCCUGUCUCACAGCCAUCUUAGCCAGGCAUGUGCCUGAAGUCUCAGAACCAAGGAGGAUUGUUAUUUUGAGUCUGGCCUGGACUAAGUGAUUUCUGAGGCCAGCCCAGACUGCCUGUCCUAAGCAAACAAACCUUGAAAACUGCGGGUUUGUGUAACGGUGUGUAACUGUGAUCCCAGCACUUGAGAGGCAACGAUAGGAAGACGGCCAUAAGCUGCCGGCCAGCCAGGGCUACGUAGAGAGCCAACCAAAACCUAAAUGGUCAGUGCUGGACAGUUUCAUGUCAACUUGGCACAAGCUAAAGUCAUCUGAGAAGAGGAAGCCGCAGUAGAGAAAAAGCCUGCAGAAGAUCAGGUAGGCAAACCUGUAGGGUGUUUUCUUCGUGAUUGAUGGGGGAGGGCCCAGCCCAUUGUAAGCGGUGCCAUCCCUGGGCAGGCCAUGAGGAACAAGCCCAGUACACAGCCCUCCAUGGCCUCUGCAUCAGCUCCUGCCUCCAGGUUCCUGCCCUGAUUAAGCUCCUGCCCUGACUUUCUUCAUUGAUGGGCUACAGUGUGGAAGUGUAAGUCACAUAAACCCUUUCUUUCCUCCCCAACUUACCUUUUUGGUCAUGAUGUUUCAUCACAGAAAUAGAAAACCUAACUAAGCCACUAGUUGUUUCUUUGUAACUGGUCUUUCUAAUCAAGGCUAAUCUUUCCUAGCUAAAUACGUCGGCCACUGGGCAAAGCUUCAAACCUGGGAUGAAGCAAAAAGAAACUUCCUCCCACGUAAAAUAGUAACUACGCCUGCUCAUGAGAUAGGCUGGGGGCUGGGGGACACGGUCACUGCUGUUAGUGGAGCUGUGUAGGGUCACUGCUUCAUCUAGAGCAGCGGUUCUCAACCUGUGGGGUUCCACCCUUCGAAUGACCCUCUCACAGGAGUCACAUACAUUUCUCCUGCAUAUCAAAUAUUUACAACUCAUAACAGUAGCGAAACUACAGUUACAAAGUAACAACAAACACCGUUUUAUAGUUGGGGGUCACUACAACACAAGGUCACAACAUUAAGAAGGUUGAAAACUGGGUUGGGAAGAUGGCUCAGCGGCCAAGAGCACUGACUGCCCUUCCAGAGGUCCUGAGUUCAAAUCCCAGCAACCACAUGGUGGCUCACAACCAUCUGUAAUGGGAUCUGAUGCCCUCUUCUGGUGUGUCUGAAGACAGCUACAGUGUACUCACCCACAAUAAAUAAAUCUUAAAAACAAAACACAACAACAGAAAAAAGAAGGUUGAGAACUGCUGUCCUAGCAGAUGGCCACCAUCCCUUUAAGGCCUGGCGGUUUCGUUGGGUUUUAUUAGGCGAAAAUCCUAAGAAAUUGAGAGGCCUCACCUCUGUUGGCUUGCUUCGUUUAAGAUUUGUUUUUAUUUUCUAUAUCUGGGUACCUGAAUGUGUGGAGGCACACUUCAAGUAUACCUGACCCCCAAAGGAGCCAGAAGAGGGCGCCAGAACCCCCAGAAUUAGAGUUACAGAUGAGAGUGAGCUUCCAAAUGGAUGCUGGGCUGAAUCCUCUGCAUGGGCAGCCAGUGCCCAUAACUGCCCCCUCUCCCCAGCCAGUGCCCUUAACUGCCCCCUCUCCCCAGCCAGUGCCCUUAACUGCCCCAUCUCCCCAGCUAGUGCCCUGAACUGCCCCAUCUCCCAGCCCCCAAGGAAAUCUGUUUAUCUCCUCCUCAUAUCAUUUCAACCCAAUAUUUAUCUUCUACCAAGAAUUUACAGAAUAAGUAAAACAAAAUGCACACACACACACACACACACACACACACACACACACACACCCGUGGAGGACAGUCAGACCUAAGAAAAGAGGCAGGCAGCUUACCCAGAGUCACGGCCCCCACAGCACAUCCUUGGGCAGCCACCCGCAUGUGGAUGAGAUGGAGGGACAUCUUCUGAUCUCUUCUGGAAUUUAGCUUGUAAAGACCAUAGGACAGCACAGCCACAAAGCCCGCCAUGCCUGUGGAUUUAAAGAGGAAUUAGGGAGCUAGAGAGGUGGCUCAGUGGUUAAGAGCACUGGCUGCUCUUCCAGAGGUCCUGAGUUCAAUUCCCAGCACCCGCGUGGCAGCUGUAAGUCCAGUUCCAGGGGAUCUGAUGCCCUCACACGAACAGACAUGCAGGUAAAAUACCAGUGAACAUAAGAUAAAAAUGAAUUAUAUAUUUUUUUUGGUUCUUUUUUUUUGGAGCCGGGGACCGAACCCAGGGCCUUGCGCUUGCUAGGCAAGCGCUCUAUCACUGAGCUAAAUCCCCAACCCCGAAUUAUAUAUUUUUAAAGAAGAAACCCAUUUGUUAAAAGUCUAUAGCACAGCUUAUGGGCUAGAUUUAAAAUAACAUGAAUUAGAUUAACAAGAGGCAAGAAUUCCCCUUAGCCAAAUGGCUGUGUAUAGGAUAACUAUCUGCACGACAGACAAGAUGUAGGUUCAGUAGCCCUCAUCUGACAUGCUUGGGUCAGAGGUGAGGGUUGUGGGUGUUUUAGAUUUUGAAACAUCUGCAUUACGAGAUGUCAGAAGCCAUCUAGGAAAGGCUAUGCCAAGUGAGUUUUCUGGAGAUGGCCACCAUUUUGCAUGGCUGUGACAGGUGCGCUCUGGGAUGCAGGUCCCCAGAGAUGUCAUCCAGGACUGCUCCUUGAUGGUCAGAUGCCCUUCCUGUCACUGUUACACAGCCUCGUGAGUCCCGGCCAUCAGCCCACCCUCCUGGGUGAUCUCCUGCAGAAUCAAUGUGAAGAUGGACUUUCAUGUAGUAAUGCUGUGAGGUCAAAUCAAUGAUUUCAUAAUUCCCAUGUUGAUAAAAGUAAUUUCAGGCCCCCCAUAGAUGGAGCUGCAGACAGAGCUCUGUAAACCUUCAUGUGCCACGGGCUAAUUGCACUGGAAAAAAGAAAGCAGGCUUGGAACAAAUUUACGAUUAUGGAAAACAUUCCUUCUAGGUUAGGAAUGAGGCCACUAUCUGGUAACUAAGGGCCAUAAAACCCGGAAUGGGCGGGGUUGGGGAUUUAGCUCAGGGGUUUGGGGGUUUAGCUCAGGGGGUUGGGAAUUUAGCUCAGGGGUUUGGGGGUUUAGCUCAGUGGUGGAGCGCUUGCCUAGCAAGCACAAGGCCCUGGGUUCGGUCCCCAGCUCCGAAAAAAAGAAAAAAAAAAAAAAACCCAGAAUGGGCAACUUAUUGUAGGUGCAAAGACAGAAAAUAAAUGAUGGACUAAUCUAUCUGUACAAGACUUCAAAAUAGUGAGACACAAGGCAGAUAGUUUGUCUCUUGACAAAACUGUGCUAACUUGUGACAUAAAAAUUAUUGCUAUAAACUUAUAAUGAACUUACAGAGCUAGAAAAAGACAACAUUUAGUUGGGUACUAGUCUUAGUGGAAAAACAUGAAAACAGUUCUGACGUAACCCCUUAAGUCUUGCUGAUGUAUAACAUGAAUUAUUGCCUUAAACUUACUACGAACUUACAGAAUGACAAAGUAUCCAUAAAAUCAUGUGAUCAGUUAUCUGUUCUGCCAGAUAUAAGUGGUUUCCCCCACUUUGUGCCCAACUCUUUUCCUUUCUUUCUGACUCACAAGAGUUAAAAAAACUCUUACCUGAUUAGUAAAAGGUCCUGCAAGUCAAAGAGAAAAUGACCCAAGCAGCUAACUUAAUUCCCUGUUGCUAUCCGCAGGAAUUAAUCACCAGAAACUAGCAGCUUUUAGCCACGGAAUAGCAAGAGGAAGCUAAAUUUCCAGAGGCCAUCACAUCAGUUUCUGGUCCCCGGCACGGUGGCUGUGAGCUAUGACGAGAAGAAGAAAUUGAUAUCCCAGUGACGAUGAUCAACACUGCCUACAAGGAACUCGAUGCCCCUGAUCAGCAGGAAGCAGUUGAACACCAUCAGUGUCCCCUUUCCCCUCAACCUUCUUUCUCUCCUACCUAGUGCUGGGGGAUUUGAAGGGAUUAGGGUAGAAUAGGGUUGGAAGGGAGCAGAGAUACAAGAAUAUAAGACCACAGCCAAAAAAAGCACACCUGCAGACCUCCUUACUAUAUUAAUGUGUGUAUGUAUAUAGUAUGUAUGCAUAUAUGUAUAUAUUACUAAUUACUAAUCAAUGAACACAGUAAGUAGUGUACCCAUUCAGGUCAUUUGAUUCAUUUCAUUAGCAUUUUGUAAUUGUCAGCAUAAAAGCGCUAGUUUAUAGCUAAGUAUUUUCUUUUUUUUAAGAUUUAUUCAUUUAUUAUAUAUAUAAGUACACUGUAGUUGUCUUCAGACACACCAGAAGAGGGCAUCAGAUUUCUUUACAGAUGGUUGUGAGCCACCAUGUGGUUGCUGGGAAUUGAACUCAGAACCUCUGGAAGAGCAGUCAGUGCUCUUAACCACUGAGCCAUCUCUCCAGCCCGUAUUUUCUUUUUUUAAAAGAUUUAUUCAUUUAUUAUAUAUAUAAGUACACUGUAGUUGUCUUCAGACACACCAGAAGAGGGCAUCGGAUCUCAUUACAGAUGGUUGUGAGCCACCAUGUGGCUGCUGGGAUUUGAACCCAGGACCUCUGGAUUAGCAGUCAGUGCUCUUAACCACUAAGCCAUCUCUCCAGUCCAAGUAUUUUCUUUAUAAUGUCUAUAAAUGGAUUUCCCACCCUCCCUAAA